rnacentral:rRNA from 1 species
AGCAGCCGCGGUAAUUCCAGCUCCAAUAGCGUAUAUUAAAGUUGUUGCAGUUAAAAAGCUCGUAGUUGAAUUUCGGGAUCAAUACGUCGGUCGUGCUUCGGUACGUACUGGUGUCAUUGAUUUCUCCCUUCUGACGAACCAUGAUGUCAUUAACUUGGUGUCAUGGGAAAUCAGGACUGUUACUUUGAAAAAAUUAGAGUGUUUAAAGCAGGCUCACGCUUGAAUACAUUAGCAUGGAAUAAUGAAAUAGGACGUUCGAUCCUAUUUUGUUGGUUUCUAGGAUCAACGUAAUGAUUAAUAGGGAUAGUUGGGGGCAUUAGUAUUCAAUUGUCAGAGGUGAAAUUCUUGGAUUUAUUGAAGACUAACUACUGCGAAAGCAUUUGCCAAGGAUGUUUUCAUUAAUCAAGAACGAAAGUUAGGGGAUCGAAGACGAUCAGAUACCGUCGUAGUCUUAACCAUAAACUAUGCCGACUAGGGAUCGGAUGAUGUUAAUUAUUUAAUGACUCAUUCGGACCG